GAAACCAGGUGAUCUACCCUUGGUCAGGUUGAAGUUCAGGUAACACUGAAUGGAGGACCGAACCGACUUACGUUGAAAAGUGAGCGGAUGAACUGAGGGUAGCGGAGAAAUUCCAAUCGAACCUGGAGAUAGCUGGUUCUCUCCGAAAUAGCUUUAGGGCUAGCCUCAAGUGAUGAUUAUUGGAGGUAGAGCACUGUUUGGACGAGGGGCCCCUCUCGGGUUACCGAAUUCAGACAAACUCCGAAUGCCAAUUAAUUUAACUUGGGAGUCAGAACAUGGGUGAUAAGGUCCGUGUUCGAAAGGGAAACAGCCCAGACCACCAGCUAAGGUCCCAAAAUAUAUGUUAAGUGGAAAAGGAUGUGGCGUUGCCCAGACAACUAGGAUGUUGGCUUAGAAGCAGCCAUCAUUUAAAGAGUGCGUAAUAGCUCACUAGUCGAGUGACACUGCGCCGAAAAUGUACCGGGGCUAAACAUAUUACCGAAGCUGUGGAUUGUCCUUUGGACAAUGGUAGGAGAGCGUUCUAAGGGCGUUGAAGCAUGAUCGUAAGGACAUGUGGAGCGCUUAGAAGUGAGAAUGCCGGUGUGAGUAGCGAAAGACGGGUGAGAAUCCCGUCCACCGAUUGACUAAGGUUUCCAGAGGAAGGCUCGUCCGCUCUGGGUUAGUCGGGUCCUAAGCUGAGGCCGACAGGCGUAGGCGAUGGAUAACAGGUUGAUAUUCCUGUACCACCUAUAAUCGUUUUAAUCGAUGGGGGGACGCAGUAGGAUAGGCGAAGCGUGCGAUUGGAUUGCACGUCUAAGCAGUAAGGCUGAGUAUUAGGCAAAUCCGGUACUCGUUAAGGCUGAGCUGUGAUGGGGAGAAGACAUUGAGUCUUCGAGUCGUUGAUUUCACACUGCCGAGAAAAGCCUCUAGAUAGAAAAUAGGUGCCCGUACCGCAAACCGACACAGGUAGUCAAGAUGAGAAUUCUAAGGUGAGCGAGCGAACUCUCGUUAAGGAACUCGGCAAAAUGACCCCGUAACUUCGGGAGAAGGGGUGCUCUUUAGGGUUAACGCCCAGAAGAGCCGCAGUGAAUAGGCCCAAGCGACUGUUUAUCAAAAACACAGGUCUCUGCUAAACCGUAAGGUGAUGUAUAGGGGCUGACGCCUGCCCGGUGCUGGAAGGUUAAGAGGAGUGGUUAGCUUCUGCGAAGCUACGAAUCGAAGCCCCAGUAAACGGCGGCCGUAACUAUAACGGUCCUAAGGUAGCGAAAUUCCUUGUCGGGUAAGUUCCGACCCGCACGAAAGGCGUAACGAUUUGGGCACUGUCUCAACGAGAGACUCGGUGAAAUCAUAGUACCUGUGAAGAUGCAGGUUACCCGCGACAGGACGGAAAGACCCCGUGGAGCUUUACUGUAGCCUGAUAUUGAAAUUCGGCACAGCUUGUACAGGAUAGGUAGGAGCCUUUGAAACGUGAGCGCUAGCUUACGUGGAGGCGCUGGUGGGAUACUACCCUAGCUGUGUUGGCUUUCUAACCCGCACCACUUAUCGUGGUGGGAGACAGUGUCAGGCGGGCAGUUUGACUGGGGCGGUCGCCUCCUAAAAGGUAACGGAGGCGCUCAAAGGUUCCCUCAGAAUGGUUGGAAAUCAUUCAUAGAGUGUAAAGGCAUAAGGGAGCUUGACUGCGAGACCUACAAGUCGAGCAGGGUCGAAAGACGGACUUAGUGAUCCGGUGGUUCCGCAUGGAAGGGCCAUCGCUCAACGGAUAAAAGCUACCCCGGGGAUAACAGGCUUAUCUCCCCCAAGAGUUCACAUCGACGGGGAGGUUUGGCACCUCGAUGUCGGCUCAUCGCAUCCUGGGGCUGUAGUCGGUCCCAAGGGUUGGGCUGUUCGCCCAUUAAAGCGGUACGCGAGCUGGGUUCAGAACGUCGUGAGACAGUUCGGUCCCUAUCCGUCGUGGGCGUAGGAAAUUUGAGAGGAGCUGUCCUUAGUACGAGAGGACCGGGAUGGACAUACCUCUGGUGUACCAGUUGUCGUGCCAACGGCAUAGCUGGGUAGCUAUGUGUGGACGGGAUAAGUGCUGAAAGCAUCUAAGCAUGAAGCCCCCCUCAAGAUGAGAUUUCCCAACUUCGGUUAUAAGAUCCCUCAAAGAUGAUGAGGUUAAUAGGUUCGAGGUGGAAGCAUGGUGACAUGUGGAGCUGACGAAUACUAAUCGAUCGAAGACUUAAUCAA
rnacentral:rRNA from 2 species